GGGCGAUUGGUUUAGGGGUAUAACGACCGCUUCGCAUGCGGUAGGUCCUAGGUUCGAUUCCUAGAUUGUCCA
rfam:Colletotrichum tofieldiae strain 0861 Ct_v4_contig5, whole genome shotgun sequence.